AACAGUGGUUAACAGUCGGGAAAUUAAGGUGAUAAAAAUGUUUUGAAAAUUCUCUUGCCAAGCUUUGCUCUGUGUGUUUUCCCCACUCCCCUCCUCUUUUCCCUAUCUCAUGAUACCUUUCAUUAUAUCAAUUAUUUGUGCAUCUCACUUAUUUAUUUCAGUGUCACAGGGAACAGUGCUGAUCUUGGCGAUGACUAGCCUGUGCAUUGUCCUGGCUGUCGUGUUAGUACUCUGUCUCAUCUGGACAUGCCGUAUGUGAUAUUCAUGACAUUUAAUUCAUAGAAUAGAUCUAGGAAAACACAUUCAUGCUAAAGGCAACACAUUUGCAACUUUUUGAGGUCUGUUUUAUAAGCAAUCAUCUUGAAGUAAAGACUCCUGUCAUUCCCACUAGUUGCCCAGGCUAUACACUGUGUAGUUCGGUGGUCUGGGACAGACAGAACGACACAGACACAGAUCGACAUUGCCCUCUAUAUCUCCAAAAGUCACCCGCUGGCACAUUAGCAAGCUUUUAUUUGUGUCAGAUGUGCUGUUGUUAGUGUUAUUGUUUGCAUGUCUCAGGAGUUAGCUUGCUAGUUUUAGACCAAAACAUCUUACUUCUGUAUUAAAAGAAAGAUACAGCCUUAUUUACUCUCUGAUAGGCACAUCUUAUUUUCUCUUUCAGGGAAACAUAAACAACAGAGGUAAGAUCAUAUGUGUUUUAUUCUUUCAGAUAACACGUUUAUCGUUUUAAAGGAGCAUAAGCAGCAACUGAUUUCCCGUGUAUCUUACAAACAGUUCAAAGGGUACUCUAGGCAGGACCAGACAGAAGAAUCACCCGGACAUUAUGCCUGCACAUAGUACAAUUACAACUGUUAAUGACACUGUUGAAACCUACACCAUGAUCACCUCAACACCCCUGACUGUAGCUCCAGAUGUUGACAAAAGGGAAGACAUUUUCUCUGAACAGGAUGAUGUGAGUGCACUAUGUGCAAAGUACUGUGCUUUGGAUGUAUAGCAAAAAUCAAUAGCUUUUCAUUCAGAUUAAUUUACGGGGCCA
ensembl:lncRNA